UACUGCUGCCGCUCAUAGCUUCGUGCCAGUACGUUGUUGCAUUCCUUUUCCGUCGUUUGCGCUGUUCGUUCUCUUCGACUCGUUCGAUUUUUCUUGUUGCUUCGUGGGACUUACUAUACAAUACACUUAAAAUGGCUGACUUCAGUGAUGACAGAAUUCAAGAUUGUCAAGAGACUUUCGCCAUGAUGGACACGACCGGUAAUAACAAGAUCGCGAUGAACAUGGUCGGUACACUCUUUAGAGCUCUCGGACAAAAUCCGACGGAAGCUGAAGUCUCAAAAGUUUUGAAUAAUCCCACUACAGAUGAUCUCGCAACGAAAGAUGUGAGCUUCAGCGAAUUCUUGCCAAUGCUUGCACAAAUCGAACGACAGACAGAACGGGGAUCAUAUGAAGAUUUCGUUGAAGGCCUUCGUGUUUUUGACAAAGAGAACAACGGCACUGUCAUGGGAGCAGAACUUAGGCAUGUCUUAUCGACACUCGGUGAGAAAAUGUCAGAGGAAGAAGUUGAAAGCCUUUUACAGGGACAAGAAGAUGCCAAUGGUUGCAUCAAUUAUGAAGAUUUCGUGAAAACGGUGUGCAGUGGCUGACAGUUUGUUCGCCGAAGAUAAAGGAGAUAUUUGGACGUCAUUUUUGUAUAAAAUCAUUCGUUAAGCAAAUUUUAAACGGUUAACCAAUCAACAACCUGGACGGAUUUUAAAUUUGAAUAUACUUGGAUCACCACCACUUAUGACGAAUGGCCGCUUGCUAUGGACGUUCUUGAUGACUUCAGCUUUACCCUUUUUGUUUGUGUCAUAUAUACGAGAUUUUACUCCGUGUCUUCAGCAUCUUGCAUUUGGUUUAUUUAUACGAAGUUGUAGUUUCGGUUAAUAUAGCAUUUAAGUUUGUGUGUUCUGAAUCUGAGCACGACAUAAAUGAAAUAGCACUUUCGCCUAUGGUAUUUGUGUCUGUUCUAUAUCUCCUAUUAUCAAUGAUUGUAGUAAUGAUUGUAUAAUACAAAUUUUAUCGAUUGGA